GAAAAGUGAAGUGAACAUAUUAAAAAAGUAUUUGUGCAUCAGCUAACAAUUAGAUUAGUUAAUAAGCGGGAGAAGCGUAAGAUCGAUGCUGGAAAGCUUGUACAAAUCGAAGGUUAUUGGAUGUAAGAAACUCAAGCUCUACUACCGAAUUUUUUUUGAAAUGGCCGCAAUACAAAUGCCUAAUUGGCUAUCGUAUGAUUGACAUGGAUUUUUAUUUUUUGCACCAAAACGCUGGUCCAGUUCUUGAAAAUUGCGAACAAAUACAGCCUCAAAUUUUGGACUUCCUUUUAAAUGACAACAAUGUAAAGGAAAAAACCAUAUUGGAAGUGUUGGAAAAAUAGUCAAAUGAAGCAUUAAUAAGCACAAUAGCUAAUAAUUGUCAAGAUUGAGCUUUACUCUGGGCCCUAAAUGGGUAUUUUGUGCCUUUCCAAAAAGUUGUGAGGAAAUACAAAGAGGAGAAAAAAACGUUUACGAUUUACCAUCAAGGACGCCCAGAAUUCGUUUGUUUUGUUCAGUGCAACGAUCCAAGCAAUCAAAUAUCACAUGGAAUCAUCAAUUGAGACACAAUAUUUUAAAAAUAAAAUGAA